rnacentral:lncRNA from 1 species
GUAUGGGUUGAACAAAUUAGAUCAGUGAUCAAACUACAAUUAGGAUCUAAUUGAUUAGAUCAAGCUAGAACUUAUUUUUGAUUUUGAGCAGUUGAUUGAAUUUAAUCGAUGGAGGAUUAGGAUUAGAGCAAAAGGGCUCAAAGUCGAGUUUAGUUGUAGUUGAUCAUAUUGUUUCAUAUUUUCAUAUGAGUUGAUUGACU